rfam:Rattus norvegicus chromosome 12, whole genome shotgun sequence.
GGGGAUUUAGCUCAGUGAUAGAGCGCUUGCCUAGGAAGCGCAAGGCCCUGGGUUCGGUCCCCAGGUCCCCA